CAAGAGGGAAAACACAGUAAUAAUGUUAAACGAAGAAAAACCUUUAGCUUGCCGAUCUGUUGCCAAGAAACGUAGUGUAAUCAUCAGACGUUCCCCUACGGAGAUUCAAUCCCGGUAGUUCCUGUUUUGCCUCUGGAUGAUUGGACCGAUAAUUUCCUUCAGCAUGUGGAACUGAACAGGAAAAAGCCAAGCGAAAUUUUUAAAACGGAGGUUUCAGUUAACUCCAGCUCUCGACAUAGGUUCGGGAAAGCCCCUUUAGCCUGUCUCUGGAGUAUCCAUGAUUUCACCCAUUUAGUGCGGUUUCUCCGUAUUUUUCGCGUCCGCUUCCUUUCUUCUUCCACAAGCAAAAGACUAAGGGCUGACAAUACCAGUGCCAUUUGCAGCUUAUCAGACAUUUCCGAUAUAUCACGCAUCUGUCUGUGAUGAGCGAGAUUUGUGUGCAGAAUGGACAUGCUAGUUGGCCAUCGGGUGUCGUCUUUGUGGUGUGUUCAAGAACAACUUUUUGACCCAGACACAGGCGACGUGAGCCGACCCCACAGUCUGCUUUAGUCGGCGCUAGUUCUUGGAUGUCGGUUUGGUGUGUCACAGCCUUAAGACUGAGAAAAGUAAAUCGUCCUCUGGUAGAGAGCUUGGAGGACAAUGCUCGUCUUAAACACCAAAGAUAUUCAGAAAUUCAAGUGAAAAAGUAACCGUGGAUGUGUGACUGUUUUAUUAUUCAUGUCAUCUGCAUAUUCAGACAUACCCACCACAUUUUGAAUGCAGACAUAUCUGUUGGGCAAAAUAAAAUUAACCCUACUGCACCUCUACCAUUACAUCUAUAGUAUAUUUACAAUGUCCUUAUUGGCGUAUUUAGACUGCCACUUCUAGUACAUCAUCUAUCAUUUUUUUGAUGGACUCUAUCUCUUUUUCUUUCUUUAUUGACUACAAUUAUUUAAUCAAGGCUUCAAAGGAAUUGUUCACCCUAAAUUAAA